rnacentral:rRNA from 1 species
UACAGAGGGGGCGAGCGUUGUUCGGAAUUACUGGGCGUAAAGAGCGCGUAGGCGGAAGCUUAAGUGUGGCCUGAAAGCCCCCGGCUCAGCCGGGGAAGGUGGCUGCAAACUGGGCUUCUUGAGGGGGAUAGGGGAAAGUGGAAUUCCGGGUGUAGCGGUGAAAUGCGUAGAGAUCCGGAGGAACACCAGUGGCGAAGGCGGCUUUCUGGGUCCGCCCUGACGCUGAGGCGCGAAAGCGUGGGGAGCGAACGGG